GCCAACAUAGCUCAGUUGGUAGAGCAACGCAUUCGUAAUGCGUAGGCCCGGGGUUCAAGUCCCCGUGUUGGCU
rnacentral:tRNA from 1 species